ensembl:lncRNA
GCACAUUAAGGAUGGUUGCUAGACAUCAUAUAAUAUUGUUCAUACUUAAGAUAAUAUAUCAGUAGACUUGUGUCUUUUGGGAAGGAAGACUUAGGUACAAACGUGGUGACUACCAUUCUGCUCUUGUCAGAAGCUAAAGAGAAGAUUACCAAAAACCUCUAAAGAAGUUGAAUUUAUAAUCUUAAAAGCAUUAGGAAACUCACAUGCCAUCUCAGAGACUCUAAGCAUGCCUGGAAGGCCAACAGUAUCCUGGUCUGCAUCAAAAGAGAAGAGACAGCAGGAAGAGGGAGGUGAUUGUCCUCUCCUCUGCCCUCAAGAGCCCCCAUCUGAACUGCUGCAUUCAAGCUUGGGACCGCGAGCACAAGAAGGAUGCAAAACUGUUGAAGUGAGUCCAGAGGAGGCCAUGAAGAUGCUCAGAGGCUGGAGCACCUCACCUACUAAGACAGUCUGAGGAAGCUGGUGUUAUCUAUCCUGGAGAAAAGAAGAGUUUAAGGAGGCUUUAUUGUGGCAUUCCAGUACCUAAAGAGGCCUACAGAAAAGAUGGAGAGGGACUCCGUCAGGUGGUAGCAGAAAGGCUAAUGAUUCUUAACUAGAAGAGUGUAGAUUUAUACCAGAUAUUAGGAAGAAAUUCUUAAGGAAUUCUCCUUUAAGCGAUAGUAAACUAUUAAGUGUAAGCUAUUUAAAUCAGCUAACAUCUGAUGAGCAUCAUCUGAUUGAUUUAGUCUUACAGAUAAAUUUCAGUACAGCUAAUGAAUUAGCCUUUACUGAAGUAUGGAGGAACUCUAUGUUUACUGAUGAGCUGAGUCCAAUAAUUCUAAACAAAUUACAGUGUAUCAAAUGCUUACAGAAAAUUCAUCACAGUAUAGUAUAUGUAUAGUACAUUAAAAAGUUCGUUCCUUGGUGACUUUUACUAAAUAUAUUUCUCAUUUAGUUUAGAAAAGUGAAAUCUAUAUAGAAAAAUCUACAUAGAAAAAUUAUUACAAACAUUUUUCAUAUAAUUACCAUGAAAAUUAUUUACAACUUGAGUUACGGUUGCAAACAAGGGGAUCUGUCAGGAUUUCAGAGUGCUGGACAACAGAUGAACAACCAAAAUGCAGUCUCAGUCCCGAAGAGAUUACUAAUGAAUAACAUAAAACAUAAAAACAUUCUCAUCAGUCACCAUUAGAUUUAGGAAUUAUUGUUAAUAUGCAACAGAUGCUUCUAUUAAUCUAAAUUACAGCCAAUUUUCUAUGUGGAAAAGCCAUCACUAGGAUUGUUUCUACUGUCAGUAAUGAUAAUACUUUCAUAGCAGUUUUGAGCCUAAAAGUGCUUUACAAACAUUAGGUAACAAGCUUCCUAACACCUCAUAAAAUUAAUUUUAGGCAGGUGAAUGCAUGUUUCACUCAUUAUUUAAAAAAAUAAAAAGACAGGCACUUAUGGGUUCAUGUAGGAAGAAGGCAUUACUAGAAAUUACAAUCAAAUAUCAUGACUCUUAAGCUAUACUUCAACUGUUAUCUCCUGCCUCAGAAGUACAGGACACCAAUGUGCAUUCCCUUGUGCAUCCCUUCAUCUACUUUUUUAGUAAUAUCUUGCUUUCUGAGAAAAAGCUGGUGUGUCAGAAGGCUUUUCUUUUUUUUGGUUUUGGAUGUGGUUUUGCUUUUCUCACAUAUGUAACUUAGUCUAGCAAGGCCUAUUAUCUCUUCUUAUAAAUGCGACUUAAUGCAGUGGCACUUUGUGGCUCUUUCAUAAAAGAAAGUUGGUCUGUGUGCCCACAUAGAAGGAUAAAAUAGCAAUGUGUGUAGACAGAUGUAACAAACAAAAAUCGAAGUUCAGUCGUAGACACCAUUUCAUCAGGCCUGUUAAAAUACCUGGCUUAUACUGCAUGAGAUGCAGGAAAAGGAAUGGCAGAAUUAUUUACAACUGAAAUCAUGAAACUGAACCCAUAAAACCUGUUCAAUUUCUACACAUGGAGGAAAAAAAAGAAAAAAAAAAAAAAAGUAAUUUGGUAGAAAGAACAAAGGGACAGAUCACCAAAUAAGUUUUCUAUUACUCACAAACUGUAUCAUUCAGAUGAAUAUCAGCCAUUUCUAUACGUCGUUUUGGAAUGAUCCUCUCUGCAAUCCUGCCAUGCCCUGACAUAAUAUAACAAAGUUUCCCCUGCAGGGAAAUCCUGUUCCUUUUCAGUUUUGCUUGAGACCUUUUGAUGUUUCCAAAGUCCAUGUGCUAUUUGAUUCAUAAAAACAGAUGUGGUUUGGGACCUUACAAUAAAGGCCAGGUUUUUACCUGCCAAGAGUAUGUUUUAAAAGCUAACAUAUAUGACCCAGAUCCUCAGUUGCUGUGGACUGAAGUAGUUUCAUUAGUUUCAUUCACACAUCAAGAUGAACUUCUUCUAUAAAACAAGAUGAAUAGAUCACAAACAUGGGCAGAGUAUCCUUAAGCUUUUUAUGAUGAGACUCGGUUGGCCAAGGUCUUGAGGAGGAUUUGUUACACCUUUUCUUUUGAGUCACAAAAUGUUUAUCCAUCUCUAAAUCUACUACAGAAAUAUAAAAACUGUGACUUGUUGGCUUGGGCAAAUUAAAACACAGGUUUCGAAGAUGCUCAACUUCUCCCAAACCACCAAGUCCUUGAAGAUUUCCCCUCUGAUUUAGAGCCCAACAGCUUUCCUAGGUUUCAAAGAGUGGAUAAAAUUCAACAUAUUUCCCCUCAGACCAUAGAAAAUGCUUUCUUUCUACAUUGUUCCGGGCUCAGCUCAGGACUAUACUUCGCAGGGAGUCUUCCCUUGCUUUCUGGGGAUUCCUGUUAAUCUUCCAUGUGCUACAGUUUUUCUGUGUUUACACCUCUUGGGAUAUCUUAGGUUUUUCUUUUUUAAGUGCAUGGUAGCAUCUCAUAUACUAGAUGUAGGAUACUAAUUAAGUUUUAUUUUGGGCAUAAAAAAU